GCCUUGGUAGCUCAGAUGGCAGAGCACUGGGCUUGUGAUCCAGUGGUCGUGAGAUCAAGUCUCAUCCAAGACA